CUACAAACUGGGGGAAUCGAAACUCUUUCAAAAUUCAAAUUGAAUCUAUUCUCUCUCUCUCUCUAUUUUUGUUUUCAAAUUCUGGAUCUCUCUCAAAAUUCUUUUCCUCUUCUCUUCCUGCUCCGGAAACGAACCCAAUUUCCUCUUCUCUUGGUCCUUUCUCUAAUCUAUCGGAUUUGUGAAUUUCCGUUUGGGUAGAAAACAUGCAUAUCAUCCGCACGCAUCAACAAACACCCCGCUUUCGAGCGCUUCAUUCUCCGUCCUCCCCUCAAUAUCGGCAUUCACAGUCACUAUUUUCACCUCCCUUAUCACAUCAGCGACGAGGCCGAUUUGAGAUCAGAACAAAUUCAGCGAACUGAUCCUCAAGUUGUAAUGGGUCUCCCCCUUCUCGGAACUCUCUCUGACGCCGGCGUGCUGGUGCGAGACGUCGUCAACCUCCAAGACGGUGGCUUCCAGCGCCGACUGAAGCUUCGUCUUUAUCCUAUUGGCGUGCUGGUGUUGUUGACGAUUUAGGGUUUUGGCAAUUGGAAAAAGGGCACAAUUUCCUCUUUCAUCCCUUUUUGUUCUUCUUUUUACGAGAUUAGAACAAGAGAGAGAAGAGCUUGAAGACGGAAUUCGAUGAACUGCGAAAGCGGAGAAACACUAUCUUGCUCGCUUGGCUACUUCUUUGCGGUCCUCACUCGCAGUCUCUUCCAUCCUCGAGGUUUUACCAUAGGAGAUGGGAAUUUAACAUAAAUUUUUGGAAUAGGAGUAGAUGAGAAAUCAGAACAAGUUUUGAGACCUUCAAUGUGUUACUUGGAGUAGGAGAUUUGCAAGUUUUGUCUAUCUCAGAUUUGGGUUUAUUCCUCCUCUCUUUUGCCCAUUUAUCUUUGCUCAUUUACUUCUUUCAACCCUGUUUGUUCAUAUUUUUCAAAGAUCAGAAUGAGAGAGAAAAAAAGGGCUUCAAGAUGGAAGAUGGUGAAUUGUGAAACCUUCCCAUGAACUAAAGUUUUGUUGGAUCAAAGCACGGGGAAGAUUUGUAUGUGCUUAUCAUUCAAGGGACUUUGAUCCAGGUGGGUCAGCUUCUUCACAUCCAUAUUUAUCUAAUCAGAUCUAUAUCAGCAAGUGAACCUUCUAGCUUGCAAAUUCCUGGGUUGGUAACAUAAUGGUGGUAAUUGAAGAUGACUGAUGUUGUCCAAUAGGAUUGACUCCAUUCCUGCAGAAGUCUCUUUAUUCAAGUUCGGGUGACUUUGGUCCUGCUAGAUAGUUGGGGCCCCAAGUUAUAAGUGCUUGGAGCUGCUUGCUGAUUUACCCUAUGGCUUCAACUUAGAUAUUUGCUCUUUGGAGGAAUAUAAAGUUUUGGUUAAUUUCAAAGUGAGAGAGAAUGAGAGAGGGAACUCAGUUUUUUGGGGGAUGUGAAGAGUGAGCAGUGGAUGAAUGAGAAAAUGCAUUGACAAUCUUUGUUACUUACUCACUACUCAACUGUGUUUGUUUCUAUGUUCAUUUCUUCACUCUUUCUCUCUCUUUAAUCAUUAUCAUCAUCACCAUCAUAUUCUUCUUCUUACCUUCAAUCUUCUUGCCUUAUUAGAUUCUUCUUUCUCUUAGAUUUUUUCCAACUCAAGUUAUUCCCUUUCUUUUCUCUUCUUUCUUUCUCACUCACUUUGUUUCUAACAUGACUUCCUAGAAAGUGGUUUCUCACUUUCUCUAAGUUUGUUUUAAUUUUACCUUAAAAUCGAUUCUAAGUUACAACUUAUAGUUUGUGACUUAUCUCAAGAUGUUUCUUGUGCAUUUUGGCAUUGAAUGAGCAUAAGGUUGCAAGGUGAAUUUGGAACCUCUAAAUGUGAUAACAUAUUGAUUAAGCAUGAGUAUAGAUGUCCACCUUGUGACAUAUGUAUAUCGUUCCAAAAAUAAUUUAGCCACUAGAUUUGCAUUAAAAUCUUAUAAUGGUAGACUAUGACAUAUCUUUUUUGUACAAUUUUAUUGAUUGGUAGCGGGACGCAGCUUCUUUAAAAAGAGUACUUUUAAGUUAUAAUUCUUAUGUGCAGGUAUAUAUGAGAAUCCACACAAAUAAAAAUUGUUGUCAUCAUGGUUGAUACACCAUAAUAAAAAAUUUGUGGGAUCUUGAUACAAAGAGGUGGCUGUGAUUUGGAUAUGCAUUACUUUGUGUUUGGCUGCGAGGAUUGAGUUGAACCUCUUGGCUUGUGGAUUAUAGACACCUUCUGGAUGUGCUUUGUUGUGAAUUGGAUGUGCUUUGUGAGUCAAUGUAUGAGGAAGAAGUUGAUUGAAGAGUUAAGACCAGUAAAGGAAUUGAGAGAGGGAGAGAAAAAAUCGUAGGAAUGAAACAAGGAAUACAGUGUUGCGAGAAUUGUAGAUGUCAAGCUCCAUGAAUUGUAAAGGUUGUGCUCUCAACAUUCGUCGCUCCCUCAAGUGAUUCCUAGGUGACUAGGUGAGUGCUUCUUCAAGGAUUGAAUUCAAUUUGAUUUAUUCAUCUAUAAUGCAAGUAUUGAGAAAGUAUGUUACCUUCCUUAUUUCAAUCAAGAAUGUUACCUUCCUGCACAAUCUCCUCCGGCUAUAAUGCCCCCACCCCUGCUAUAACUAAUGUUGCCAGCCAGGUCCACUUCACACCCAAAACAAUUCCCCAACAACCAAAGUGGAUAUUUUGUCCAUGUUUUUUCACUUGCAAACUGUCACCAAACCAAGCUUCUGCAAGUGAGAUGAACUUGCCGGUAUAUGUUUAUGAUUAUAUUCGCAAUGGGGAAGUUUACAAGUGGCUUUUCAGAGGGCCCAUUGACAAGGAAGUGGAAUGUACCAUUCUUGGUGUGCCUAAUCGGAAUUAGGCGAGGUUUGGUAGGGGUUGGAGGGCCUUCUGUUCGUCACAUGGAUUGAAGGCAGGGGAUGUGUUGACCUUCUUCUUAACCAGUGAAAUGUUUGUUGUUAUUGAUGUUUUAUUCAACAUUAAGGUGUGAUAGAAUGGCCUGUAUGUUCUUACUUAACGAACUGGAUUGUAUUUGUUGUUCUCUAUUAUGUACCGGACAAGUGUUGUUAUUUUACUUAGUUUACGAUGGCAUGGGUUGAACAA